CAUGGUGACCACCAGUUACAUAACAACAGAGGGUACCAACUGUAGCUGCAGCGUUGAGAGGUGAUGAACAGAAAUGAUUUCCACCACCAAUUUAGAUUUCGAAAACACUGUGUGGGAUUCAAAUGCUGUUAAAUGGUGGAGCGACUGUUUCACUUUGUGUCCCGGUGCCUGGCGUAGUUUUCUUCAAGCACAUGCACAUCCAACCUUCUGUUGUCCUGCACCUCGCCCUGCCUGCCUUUUAGUUCUCUCUUUUAUUAAAUGACAUUACAUUUAGGGGACUGGAUUAUAAAGCGAGCGCACCCCAUUAGGACUCUGCGCCUCCUGUAUCACAUGAUUGGCCUGCAGGCCCUGAGGGGGGGCAUCUUCCCACGCUAUGUCACAGAACAUAUUUAUUGUUCGCUGUGCACUGCAAUCCCGCAGCGUGAUGAAGACGACGUCAGUGCUUCCAACCCCGAGCUGCUGCUGCACAUUGUUGCUCUUUGUACUGGCGAGUCAAGCAAACCUUAAAGUUUUAUUCACAAUCUUUAUUUUGCAACAGACGAAGCACAAUUAUUUAGAAUGUAUAUAAUUAAUGUUAACGUUGGUUUGGUUAACUUUGCAUUCAUGAUACACCACUUGGUGCAGCACAUUUAUCCAUCAUUUGUUACUUUAAGACAUUUUCCAUCCUUUACUUUUAGCUAUUUGUUUCAACAGUUUAUACAUUAACACAUCGUUUUCCACCAUUUAUCUAUUUAUAACUUGUAGCUACAGUAAAGUUUAAACUCAUUUGUUCCUAAUCUGAUUAUUUUUAAAUCCCACACACGCUUAAUGAACUGCAGAAGUACUCCUGGGUGUCGAGCUGCGACGACAAGUCGACUAAUCGAUCGACGGGAAAAUAAUCUCCAAUCUCUUUAAAGUAAUUUUUCCUGCUAAAAUGUCGUCCUGGUUUGAACUCAGGUGGUAUAGAUCCUCUUCGUGUACGAACACUGGCAGGAAGACAGACAGCUAGAUGAAGGCUAACUGCUCGCAGACGUGGCUCCGCUCUAAAUUUAGUCCCCCCUCCACUUGUGAACUAAAUACCAACGACAACAGUCGAACUGACACCCACCCACUCGUUCAGUCCCCCUUCCCACCACAAGCCCCAGUGCCGGGGAGCGUGAACACCCACACGGGGCGACUACCCAGUCUGACCCUCUCGCCUCUCACCUUUCCGACUUCCUACCCCGAGGAGACAGACACAAGUCCAGACUCCGCCCUGCAGGUCCUUCAGGACAGCCUGUACUGAUGGGCUUUGUCUCCUGUGAC
rnacentral:lncRNA from 1 species